ACCAGACUCCUACGGGAGGCAGCAGUGGGGAAUAUUGCACAAUGGGGGGAACCCUGAUGCAGCGACGCCGCGUGGGUGAAGGAGCACCUCGGUGCGUAAAGCUCUAUCAGCAGGGAAGAAAGAAAUGACGGUACCUGAGUAAGAAGCCCCGGCUAACUACGUGCCAGCAGCCGCGGUAAUACGUAGGGGGCAAGCGUUAUCCGGAAUUACUGGGUGUAAAGGGAGCGUAGACGGUUAAGCAAGUCUGGAGUGAAAGGCGGGGGCCCAACCCCCGGACUGCUCUGGAAACUGUGUAACUAGAGUGCAGGAGAGGUAAGCGGAAUUCCUAGUGUAGCGGUGAAAUGCGUAGAUAUUAGGAGGAACACCAGUGGCGAAGGCGGCUUACUGGACUGUAACUGACGUUGAGGCUCGAAAGCGUGGGGAGCAAACAGGAUUAGAUACCCGGGUACG
rnacentral:rRNA from 1 species